GUACUCACUUUGGCAACACAUAUAUUAGAAUUGAAACAACGGAGAUUAGCACGGUCUCUGAGCAAGGAUGGCAUACAAGAUUGUGAAGUAUUCCAUAUUGAA